rnacentral:rRNA from 1 species
UACGUAGGUGGCAAGCGUUAUCCGGAAUUACUGGGCGUAAAGCGCACGCAGGCGGCGCAUCAAGUUCGACGUGAAAGCUCCCGGCUUAACUGGGAGAGGUCGUUGAAGACUGAUGUGCUUGAGGCAAUGAGAGGGGUGUAGAAUUCCCGGUGUAGUGGUGGAAUGCGUAGAUAUCGGGGGGAAUACCAGUGGCGAAAGCGGCACCCUAGCAUUAGCCUGACGCUCAUGUGCGAAAGCGUGGGGAGCGAACGGG